rnacentral:lncRNA from 1 species
CGGGUGUAUGGCUGACCAGUGAAGCAAUCUGGAGGUGCAGAAGCCAACUGCAAAUCAUGACACAGCCAGGGUUUCACUAAGUUGUCCAAUCUGGCACUGAACCUAAUCUGGCACUGAACUUGUCAUCCUCCUGUGUCAGCCACCUUACAGAUUCUAGAUUCUCCAGGCUCUGAACAAGGACUCACACCAGAGACUCCUGGGAACGCUCUAGGGCUUCAGCCUCGGACUGUGACUACACCGGUGGUGGUGGUCCUUCUCAUCGUUCUAAGGCUCUGCCUUCUUGGACUAAUCAGCUCCUGGUUCUCCAGCUCUCCAGCUUGCAAAUGCUACUUGGGGACUCUCUGGCCUCUGAGUUCGUGAGGCGAUCAGGUGGAUUCCCUCCAGUGCCUUGAUGUCCGUCAACCACCUGCCCCAAGAAGAUGCUUCCAAUUUCCUGCCUGGAAGGUGCACACCUGGGAGCCAAAGGGGAAAGGAGUUUAGGGAUUUCAGCAUUCAUCACCUAAACAUCUGCUGGUUUUUAGUGCAGAAGCCGCUCUGCUCUCCAGGCAAUAAACCUCCAGUGUUCUGCUGGGGUAGAGGAGAGAUUGUCACCCAGGAGAGGAGGUCGGAGGUCAAGUAGCUCCUGGAACAGCCUUUCCACAGUCCUGGCUGUACCUGUGGCUGCCAAGUCCUGCUCCUUGGGGGUGCUCUGUGGAAAGGAGGGAGGGCUGUUGAUUUUUCCCACUUGCUGGCUUACCAUUUGGCUUCCUUGGAGUUGCCUGAGUCACUUGUGACUCCUCCAUCUGUUUUCCAGUUUCCAGUUUCUCUGUCCUUGCAGGCUUAUGUUCUCCACGUAUCUCUUCAUUGAUGCUUUGGGAAAGAAGCAGGACUGAUUCGCCUAUUUAAUCCACUGAUUUUGGAACAGUGCUUUGAUGAGCUGAUGCUGUUAGGGUUGAGAAAGAUUCGCUACAGCUGCAGCAGGGUGCUGGGCAUCCAGAUAGAGGUGAGG